rnacentral:misc_RNA from 1 species
GGUGCCGAUUUGCUUCUCAACUAAUGCUUUAAAUCUUCUGAAAUUCUCAAAUGUUUCUGAUUUGGAUUUCACGAAAUAUACCUAACUUACUCUGCUAAAGUCAUUCGUGAAAAGAAGAAAGUAAUAGCUGCCUCCUAAUGACUCUAUGUUCAUAGGACUGCAUAGGUUUGAAUGAACCAGUUCAAGUCUUUUGUUGGCUCUUCGUGCCUUCCCUGUAGGAAAUGACUUCCUAGUCUGCUUGCCAU